UGGGGAUGGUGGAAAGCUAUUGAACUAAAGGUUANCUAGAGGUUGAAUUGAAUGAACUCCUCAAAGUGGGUGUGCUUGUUCUAGCUCGUUGCUCCAAAGUUCUGUAAUAAGGUUAUUUUAGUAAAAAAGUAUGUGUGGCAUAUAUUAAAUAAUAAGACUAAUGUACUGUAUAAUGGCAAUGUUUACGUGUUCGUUGUUGGAAAAAGGUGUAUAAGUGAAGAGUAAAAGUUUCCUUUGCAGGUUAAAGGAAGCCAAAAAGGAAGAAGAAAAAAAAAAGAACAAAAUGAGUUAACUGAAAAGAAAAAAGAAGCUAGGAGACUGUAAAUAAGACACUGUCUCCAUUCAAGGACACUGCUCACAGCUAAAACUUGGCUAAUAACCAAGGAAAGGGGGGUGGGGCUUGAAUGUGCCCAAGCAGCUAUGAGAUCUGCAAAACACUGCCAGGCACUAAUGAAAUGUGUUAAGUUUCUUUUCUCACAGGUAAAGAAGCGCUACCCAAAGACCGAAUCAGCCCUUGCCUUCCCGGAUGCCCUUCAACUAGCCCUGGCAGGCUUUGUGGGCUCCCUGUCCUAUCAUAUUCAAAAAAAUCCUCGCCUGCAUGCCAUUUGUCACAUUCCCACUGUAUUUUGUAAUUUUUGCCAGCAAACCCCCAUAAUUGAUGCGCUUACAGUAUUCACUGAUGGCUGCCCAACCCGUGGUGUUGUUUCUUGGUGUACUGCCACGCAAUGGCACUCGUGGUUUACCACUCCUCAAACAAGCCCUCAACGGGCAAAACUUGCUACCCUUUGUUUAGCCUUUUCUCAUUUUUCCAUUGUCCCCCUCUUCUGCGCUCCCGGUCUCACCCAUUUUUUAUUGCACAUAUUCAUAGCCAUCUUCCCCUCCCCGGGGUUUUGUCUGAGGGCAACGCUUAUGCUGAUGCACAAGUGCGCAUUUCCUGGGUUCACUCCCUUACCUCCAGCCACGCCUUUCAUCAUCAAAAUGUUAAAGCCCUCGCCCGGAAGUUCUCCAUUCCCUUGGAUANAUUCCCUUGGAUGAGGCUAAAGCUGUUGUUCAACAAUGCCCACAAUGUUCCUCUCUCCGCUCUUACCCCCCCACCGGCGUCAAUCCCCGCGGUCUCGGCGCCAAUCAGCUUUGGCAGAUGGAUGUCACACGUUUUCCCCCUUUUUCCCCUUGGAAUUUUCUUCAUGUUACUGUUGACACUUACUCAGGUUACCUUUGGGCCACACCCCACAAAGGAGAACGUGUUCGACACGUUAUCCACCAUUUUGUUCGUUGCUUUUCUGUUAUGGGCAUCCCGGCCAAGCUCAAAACAGAUAAUGGGCCAGCUUACUGCUCUCAACAAAUUGCUGCCUUCUGCUCCCGUUGGGGCGGGCCAAGCUAUCGUUGAGCGCGCAAAUCGUACCCUCAAAACAGCUCUCCUCCAACAAAAAAACAAAAGGGGGAAUCCCGCCCACGCUGCCCGACAAGGAGGUGUGGUUAGCACAUGUUCUUUAUACAAUCAAUUAUUUAAAUCUUGUUUUUGAUGGUGCCCAUUAUAUCUCCCAUUUACAGAAACACUUUAGGUGCAAGGAAGAACUCCCCGCCCCUAAAGUAACGUAUAGACAACUCCCUGGAACCUCGUGGAGUGCCCCAGUCCCCUUGAUUACCUGGGGGCGGGGGUACGCAGCCGUUAACAUACCUAAGGGGCCUGUGUGGGUCCCAGCCCGUUACAUCCGUCCGUGAAAAGAGGACCCCACAGGCGGCCCGCAGCAUGGCGUGGCACCAGGGUCUUAACAAUCCCAUUCCUGAUUUCAAUCAGUUAUUAACAACAACAGUUACGCUGUCUCAAGAACGGCGCCGCAGUACUCCCAAUGCACCAGUGACGUGGGUACAAACAAAGUCCCUCCCACAGCAAGCUGAGCGUCUGCUGGAACAGCAAGAAAAGGAGAAAACCCCAAAGAAUUUGUUAACUGCUUUUAUUGCUUGCCUAAAUGCUAAA
ensembl:lncRNA